GAUGAAGAACGUAGCGAAAUGCGAUACUUGGUGUGAAUUGCAGAAUCCCGUGAACCAUCGAGUCUUUGAACGCAAGUUGCGCCCGAAGCCAUUAGGCCGAGGGCACGCCUGCCUGGGUGUCACACGUCGUUGCCCCCCCAUCUACUCCUUCGGGAUUGCGGGGGGCGGAUGAUGGCCUCCCGUGCGCCUCGUCGCGCGGUUGGCAUAAAUGCCAAGUCCUCGGCGACGCACGCCACGACAAUCGGUGGUUGCGAAACCGCGGUUGCCCGUCGUGUGCGGUCGUCGCGCAUCGAGGGCUCGAAAAAAUUGCCGGGCUCCGGCUCGGCUUUCAACGCGACCCCAGGUCAGGCGGGGUUACCCGCUGAAUUUAAGCAUAUCAAUAAGCGGAGGA
rnacentral:misc_RNA from 1 species